GUCACCUACGGGACGCAGCAGUGGGGAAUUUUGGACAAUGGGCGCAAGCCUGAUCCAGCUAUUCCGCGUGUGGGAUGAAGGCCCUCGGGUUGUAAACCACUUUUGUAGAGAACGAAAAGACACCUUCGAAUAAAGGGUGUUGCUGACGGUACUCUAAGAAUAAGCACCGGCUAACUACGUGCCAGCAGCCGCGGUAAUACGUAGGGUGCGAGCGUUAAUCGGAAUUACUGGGUGUAAAGGGUGCGCAGGCGGUUGAGUAAGACAGAUGUGCACUCCCCGAGCUUAACUCGGGAAUGGCAUAUUUU
rnacentral:rRNA from 1 species